AAAAAGACAAACCCUGGUUUCUGUGCCCAACGUUUGACCGUCUGUUUUAUUUGAAAAAGUUAUGAAAAAAAUUAAAAAGACAAGUCAUGUAUAAAAUAUUAAUCAUGUUUUAUCAUCUAACAACAAUAAAAAUACGAAUUAUAAAAAAAAUUCAUAUAAGACGGACAAUCAAAGUUAGACACGGAAAUCCAGGGUUUGCCUUUUU
rfam:Oryza sativa (indica cultivar-group) chromosome 8, whole genome shotgun sequence.